UACGUAGGGUGCAAGCGUUGUCCGGAAUUAUUGGGCGUAAAGAGCUCGUAGGCGGUGUGUCACGUCGUUCGUGAAAACCUGCAGCUUAACUGUGGGCGUGCGGUCGAUACGGGCAUCACUGGAGUUCGGCAGGGGAGACUGGAAUUCCUGGUGUAGCGGUGAAAUGCGCAGAUAUCAGGAGGAACACCGGUGGCGAAGGCGGGUCUCUGGGCCGAUACUGACGCUGAGGAGCGAAAGCGUGGGGAGCGAACAGG
rnacentral:rRNA from 1 species